AAAAAAAAAAAAUUUCCUGCCCCUAGCGUUUCCUUAAUCAGAUGCAGACAUGGCUGGAUGUUCUUUGCGGGGCUGCUGAGUCAGAAGCCUGGACGGGCCAGCUUCAGUUUUAAUAGAGUGGCUCAGGAAGGAAGUGCUAACAGAGAUGGGUGCACAGUGCAGUCAGUGGGUAGGAGCUGAUGCUGGCUAGAAGACCUGAGUCUUCCGAGAGGCAGCUUGAUUCCUGGAAAAGACUACUGGGCUGGAAGUCAGGAGGCCUGGGGUAGUCUCAGCUCUGCCGCUAACAUGCUGCAUGACCAUGGGUCCAGCUCAGCAUCUGGCUUACAGUAGGCACUCAGUGAAUGUUGAUGUGAACAAAUGAACUGAUUCAAAGAAGUGUCUCUUGAAGUUGCUUCUUUCCAAUCUAGCCAACAAAUGCAGUAUUCCAAAUGGAGGUACCAGAGAUCACAUCAUCUUCAGCUUUCUGCCACAGAUCCACAUGAAGAAACACACAUGGUGCAGCUAAAAUCCUUAAUGUUAGAUAGGACUUUGCAUUGGACACUUUAAAAUAUGAUGUCUGGCUUUGAAGAGGGUGUAUAACACAAAUUUACUGUGCAUCAAUCUCACUAAUGGAAAAUAAACAAUAGCCCAUACAUCA